rnacentral:tRNA from 1 species
GCCGGAACCAAGUUAUCCAGCGUGGUCAUCAUGAACAUCAAUUCGGUGUAGCCGUCUGCUCUGCGCAUCGUUUCGGUCUCAGUGUCGUUCGAUUCCUUGAUUCAACGUUUGCCCCGCCCAGUUUGCCCCUUCCCAAUCAGAUGAUCCGCGUAAGAUGACCCGUGUAGAGGGUAUUUCAAUAGCCUGCUAAAGCCUGUAUGGCGAACUCCAUGACGAAAAAGCUGAACGAUGUACCCGUCGAAGACGACGCAACGCAAAACGGUGAGUCCACUGCCGCCGCGGCCGCGCCUGCGGCGAAGGUAGAGAAGGCCAGGGCUCGCGAUCGCCGCGCGAAGGAAAAAGCGCUUCUGAAGGACGCGUUCUCGUCGAGCGCGCCCGGUACCGUCGAGAAACUCGAGGAGCGGCGCGGCAAGCUGCGCGCGCUCAUCAAGCUCGGCAAGGAACGCGGCUUUCUUACGUACGGCGAGAUCAACGAUCACCUUCCGGACAACUUCACGGAAACCGAGGCGAUCGAAGGCAUCAUCAGCACGUUCAACGACAUGGGCGUUGCGGUGUACGAGCAAGCGCCCGAUGCCGAAACGCUGCUGCUGAACGACAACGCGCCCAACGCUUCCUCUGACGAUGAAGUCGAGGAAGAAGCUGAAGUCGCGCUCUCGACGGUCGAUUCCGAAUUCGGCCGCACGACCGACCCGGUCCGCAUGUACAUGCGCGAGAUGGGGACGGUCGAACUGCUGACGCGCGAGGGCGAAAUCGAAAUCGCCAAGCGCAUCGAAGACGGCCUGAAGCACAUGGUCAUGGCGAUCUCCGCGUGCCCGACGACCAUUGCCGAUAUCCUCGCGAUGGCGGAGCGCGUGCAGAACGACGAGACGCGUGUCGACGAACUCGUGGACGGCCUGAUCGACCCGAACGCCAAAGAUACCGACGGUUUCUCCGAGCAGGAAGCGGAAGCGAUCGAAUCGGAAGAUGAGGAGUCGGACGAAGAGAACGACGAGGAAGAGGAAGAAGAGGCCGACGGCAGCGCGCAGGCAAGCGCGAACGCCGCGCAACUCGAGGCCCUCAAGCUCCAGUCGCUCGAGAAGUUCGCGCUCAUCAGCGAGUGGUUCGACAAGAUGCGCUGCGCCUACGAGAAGGAAGGCUACAAGUCGAAGGCGUAUCUGAAGGCGCAGGAAGCCAUUCAGGCCCAGCUGAUGAACAUCCGCUUCACGGCGCGUACCGUCGAGCGUCUGUGCGACACGCUGCGCGUUCAGGUGGAUGAAGUGCGUCAGGUCGAGCGCCAGAUUCUGCACACAGUCGUCGACAAGUGCGGCAUGCCGCGCGCCGAGUUCAUCGCGCGCUUUCCGGGCAAGGAGACGGACCUCGAGUGGUCGGACAAGGUAGUCGGCGAGGGGCAUGAGUACAGCGCCGUGCUGGAGCGCAAUAUUCCGGCGAUUCGUGAGCAGCAGCAGCGUCUGCUGGACUUGCAGGCGCGCGUCGUGUUGCCGCUCAAGGACCUGAAGGAAACCAACCGCCAGAUGGCGGCGGGUGAAUUGAAGGCGCGUCAGGCCAAGCGCGAGAUGACCGAGGCGAAUCUGCGUCUGGUCAUUUCGAUCGCGAAGAAGUACACCAAUCGCGGCUUGCAGUUCCUCGACCUGAUUCAGGAAGGCAAUAUCGGCCUGAUGAAGGCGGUGGACAAGUUCGAAUAUCGCCGUGGCUACAAGUUUUCGACGUACGCGACGUGGUGGAUUCGUCAGGCCAUCACGCGGUCGAUCGCGGACCAGGCGCGCACCAUCCGGAUUCCGGUUCACAUGAUUGAGACGAUCAACAAGAUAAACCGUAUCUCGCGGCAGAUUCUGCAGGAAACCGGCCUCGAGCCGGACCCGGCGACGCUGGCCGAGAAGAUGGAGAUGCCUGAGGACAAGAUCCGCAAGAUCAUGAAGAUCGCGAAGGAGCCGAUUUCCAUGGAGACGCCGAUCGGCGAUGACGACGACUCGCAUCUGGGCGAUUUCAUUGAGGAUACGAACACGGUGGCGCCGUCGGAUGCCGCGUUGCACGCAUCCAUGCGCGAUGUCGUGAAGGACGUGCUUGACUCGCUGACUCCGCGCGAGGCGAAGGUAUUGCGGAUGCGGUUUGGUAUCGAGAUGAGCACGGAUCACACGCUCGAGGAAGUAGGCAAGCAGUUCGACGUCACGCGUGAGCGGAUUCGCCAGAUCGAGGCGAAGGCGUUGCGCAAGUUGCGUCACCCGAGCCGCUCGGACAAGCUCAAGUCGUUUCUGGAAGGGAACUGAGAGAGCGGGUAGGGGCUUGUUUUGGGACGCGUUGUGAGGCACACUCACUACCCUUCCAUCAUCGCGCAUUGUUCUGAAGUAACGGAAAGCGCCGCUAUGGGGCUUUCUUUUUGCCCUUCUUCUUUAAAG